rnacentral:rRNA from 1 species
UAACUGCGAGUGAAGCGGGAAAAGCUCAAAUUUAAAAUCUGGCGGUUUUGCCGUCCGAGUUGUAAUCUGGAGAAGCGUUUUCCGCGUCGGACCGUGUACAAGUCUCUUGGAACAGAGCGUCAUAGAGGGUGAGAAUCCCGUCCAUGACACGGACUCCCGGUGCUUUGUGAUACGCUCUCGAAGAGUCGAGUUGUUUGGGAAUGCAGCUCAAAAUGGGUGGUAAAUUCCAUCUAAAGCUAAAUAUUGGCGAGAGACCGAUAGCGAACAAGUACCGUGAGGGAAAGAUGAAAAGCACUUUGGAAAGAGAGUUAAACAGUACGUGAAAUUGUUGAAAGGGAAACGCUUGAAGUCAGUCGCGUCUUACGGGACUCAGCCUUGCCUCGGCUUGGUGUACUUCCUGUAGGACGGGUCAACAUCGAUUUUGACCGGUGGACAAAGGGGAUGGGAAUGUGGCAAUCUUCGGGUUGUGUUAUAGCCCUCUUCCAUAUACAUCGGUUGGGAUCGAGGACCGCAGCGCGCCUUUAUGGCCGGGGGCUUGCCCCACGUACCGCGCUUAGGAUGUUGGCAUAAUGGCUUUAAGCGACCCGUCUUGAAACACGGACCAAGGAGUCUAACAUGCUUGCGAGUGUUAGGGUGGAAAACCCUUGCGCGUAAUGAAAGUGAAAGUUGAGAGCCUUCUUUUGGAGGUGCAUCGACGCCCGGCCCUGAAGUUCUCUGACGGUGCUGCGGUAGAGCACGUAUGUUGGGACCCGAAAGAUGGUGAACUAUGCCUGAAUAGGGCGAAGCCAGAGGAAACUCUGGUGGAGGCUCGUAGCGAUUCUGACGUGCAAAUCGAUCGUCAAAUUUGGG